rnacentral:misc_RNA from 1 species
GGAGGGAUCAUCAAAGAAUUUUAUAUUUACAAGUGUUUUCUUCUCUUUGGGGGGGGAAAGCACUUGACAAACAAACAAUCACAACUAGAUGGGAAAUUAUGAGGGGAUUUCAGAAGUGUUUGCCUGAUAAAUGGUUGACUUUGAAAUAUAACAACAUACAACUUUCAACAACGGAUCUCUUGGCUCUCACAUCGAUGAAGAACAUAGCAAAGUGUGAAAAUUAAUGUGAAUUGCAGAAUUCAGUGAAUCAUUGAGUUUUUGAACGCAUCUUGCACUCCUUGGUAUUCCAGGGAGUAUGCCUGGUUGAGCAAUGUAAACAUAUCUAUCAAAAAAAGACUGGAGUUGAGUGUUUACCUUGUCUUGUUUGCUGGCUGGCUGUGUCAGUCAGUCAGUUGGAACAAGAAAACAAGGUUCACUUGAAAUGAAGAGAAAGAGAAACAACAGGGGUUUUGGUAACAAGAAACAAGCAAGAGAACCUUCUUUGGGAGGUGAUCGAGAAAUUGGCUUGAUAAUAACGAUGACUUGAUGAAUGAGAGAAACAACAACACCCAUGUCUGUGGCUGUCUGGCCAUGGAAUAUGAGGUUGUUGGAUCGUUUGUUUUUUCAAAGUCUUGUUUAGAGCCUACUUUCUGCGCGCGUAUUCUUCAAGAACCUUGUUUGUAUGUCUUUCUUACAACUAGGAAUGCGUGUGUGUGUGUGUGGCUGGAAAGCAAUUUUCAUCACCACCAUCACCACCAUCAUCAUCAUUCUCAACUCAGGCAAGACUACCCGCUGAAUUUAAGCAUAUAAAUAAGCGGAGGAAAAGAAACUAACAAGGAUUCCCUCAGUAACUGCGAGUGAAGCGGGAAAAGCUCAACUUUGAAAUCUACCAAGAGUUACAUUCUUGGUCGAAUUGUAGUUUCAAGAAAGAGUGGCUGAGAGAAGUCAGUUGGGUGCAAGUUCCUUGGAAUGAGACAUCAGAGAGGGUGACAAUCCCGUCCACCGUCCUUCUGUUGCUUCUCACCAAAGGCCCUCUUUUCAAAGAGUCGAGUUGUUUGGGAUUGCAGCUCAAAAUGGGUGGUAAAUUUCAUCUAAAGCUAAAUAUGGGUGAGAGACCGAUAGCGAACAAGUACCGUGAGGGAAAGAUGAAAAGCACUCUGAAGAGAGAGUGAAAAGUACGUGAAAUUGUUGAAAGGGAAACGCUUGAAACCAGUCAAGGUUUGCUAGAUUUCAGGAGAGUUUAUGCGUUGAGCGGGGUUGGAUAUAGAGAUUGAUCUUUCAUGGUUAACUCUGUGCUGAUUUCAGCUUGAUCAUGCUUUCUGUACGUUUCUAGUAAACAAGUCAGCAUCAGUUUGGGUUUUUUUGCUUGGGAAAAAGCUAAUGGGAUUUGGUCGGGCUUGUCAAUGGGUUUCGACCCUUGAAGGUCUGGAGCCUGCUUAGCAUCAUACCAAGCGCCAGACUGAGGACUGCAGUACGGGGCAUUGACUUGGACAGAUUAGGCCUGUGGUGCCACUUUGAGUAAACAGCUUGCUGAUUGCUCAAGGUGCUGUUGCUCGGGCCUGUCCAAUCUAAGCUGGCCUUCGACUUUGGAUGUUGACGAAAUGGUUUUAAACGACCCGUCUUGAAACACGGACCAAGGAGUCUAACAUGGAUGCAAGUAUUUGGGUGAUUGGAAACCCAGAUGCGCAAUGAAAGUGAAUUUUUGAUAGGUAGGACGCCGAAUUCUUAUUUGGUUGCACUAUCGACCAAUCUUGUAUAGCCUCGGCUUGAUAGAUUUGAGUAAGAGCAUGCAUGCUGGGACCCGAAAGAUGGUGAACUAUGCCUGAAUAGGGUGAAGUCAGACGAAAGUCUGAUGGAAGCUCGUAGCGAUUCUGACGUGCAAAUCGAUCGUCAAAUUUGGGUAUAGGGGCGAAAGACUAAUCGAACCAUCUAGUAGCUGGUUCCUGC